rnacentral:misc_RNA from 1 species
GAUGAAGAACGCAGCGAAAUGCGAUAAGUAAUGUGAAUUGCAGAAUUCAGUGAAUCAUCGAAUCUUUGAACGCACAUUGCGCCCCUUGGUAUUCCGAGGGGCAUGCCUGUUCGAGCGUCAUUUCAACCCUCAAGCCCCCGGGCUUGGUGUUGGGGAUCGGCGAGCCUCCGCGCCCGCCGUCCCCUAAAUCUAGUGGCGGUCUCGCUGUAGCUUCCUCUGCGUAGUAGCACACCUCGCACUGGGAAACAGCGCGGCCACGCCGUUAAACCCCCAACUUCUGAACGUUUGACCUCGGAUCAGGUAGGAAUACCCGCUGAACUUAAGCAUAUCAAUAAGCGGAGGA